rnacentral:miRNA from 1 species
GUGAGGGGCUGGGAUUUGUGGGGCGAGGAGGGACCUGUACUGACGAUGGUUCUGACGGUUUAUGCCCACCCCUC